UACGGAGGGUGCGAGCGUUGUCCGGAAUCACUGGGCGUAAAGGGCGCGUAGGCGGCCUGAUAAGUAGGGGGGUGAAAUCCUGCGGCUUAACCGCAGGGCUGCCUUCUAAACUGUCAGGCUGGAGCACAGUAGAGGCAGGCGGAAUUCCGGGUGUAGCGGUGGAAUGCGUAGAGAUCGGAAGGAACACCCGUAGCGAAGGCGGCACUCUGGGGCCGGUACUGACGCUGAGGAGCGAAAGCGUGGGGAGCGAACAGG
rnacentral:rRNA from 1 species